rnacentral:rRNA from 1 species
CAGUAGCCACGGUAAUACGAAGGGUGCAAGCGUUAAUCGGAAUUACUGGGCGUAAAGCGCACGUAGGCGGCUUGGUAAGUUAGAGGUGAAAGCUUGGAGCUCAACUCCAGAAUUGCCUUUAAGACUGCCGAGCUAGCAGGUGAGAGAGGUAAGUGGAAUUCCGAGUGUAGAGGUGAAAUUCGUAGAUAUUCGGAAGAACACCAGUGGCGAAGGCGGCUUACUGGCUCAUACUGGACGCUGAGGUGCGAAAGCGUGGGGAGCAAACAGGAUUAGAUACCCCGGUAGUCCCUGUCUCUUAUAC